UACGUAGGGGGCAAGCGUUGUCCGGAUUCAUUGGGCGUAAAGAGCUCGUAGGCGGCUUGGCAAGUCGGGUGUGAAAACUUCAGGCUCAACCUGGAGCGGCCACUCGAUACUGCCAUGGCUAGAGUCCGGUAGGGGACCACGGAAUUCCAGGUGUAGCGGUGAAAUGCGUAGAUAUCUGGAGGAACACCGGUGGCGAAGGCGGCAUCCUGGACCGGCAUUGACGCUGAGGCGCGAAAGCCAGGGGAGCAAACGGG
rnacentral:rRNA from 1 species